rnacentral:lncRNA from 10 species
CUUUCAACUUAAAAAUCAGAGACAUUGAUGCAGCAACUGAAGCAAAGCACAGGCUUGAAGAAAGACAAAGAGCAGAAGCCCGAGAAAGGAAGGAGAAGGAAAUUCAGUGGGAGACAAGGUUAUUUCAUGAAGAUGGAGAAUGCUGGGUUUAUGAUGAACCAUUACUGAAACGUCUUGGUGCUGCCAAGCAUUAGGUUGGAAGAUGCAAAGUUUAUACCUGAUGAUCAGGGCAGUAGGCAUAAUUCAGCAACAAACAAUCUUCCUUUGGGAGAAACCUGUUCAUUCCAAUCUUCUAAUUACAGUGGUUCCUAUCUCAGGGAUACUGGACUUUCUGACGCAGAUGAACAAUUAAGGGGAAAAGCUUCCCUUUUCCCUCUGUGGCAGUUACGAUUUUGACUUCAGUCCUGAGAAAAACUUCAGGUUUUGAAAAUCAGAUGAUGUCUUCUCCUUUUCCAAACACCACACGUUGAAAGCAUUUAUAAAUCCAAGUCUGAAACUCUGCGCUCUAGUACUGCUGUUAAGAUACACAACUUGUUUCUUAGUUCAUAUAAUCUCGGGAUACACACACACACACACAUAUAUAUACACACACAUACGUAUACACACACAUACAUAUAUAUAAAUAUACCUGAUGCCAGAUUUUUUUCAUAAAUAUUCUGCCUACUGUAAAUAUGGGUUCCUCUGAGUUGUUUUAGAAAAUUAGCGCAAUGUAUUAAAAUCAAGUGUUAGGAAAUUUCAUGGUCUUACCUACAAUAACUUUUAUUUUGGAAUUGAACUAUUAUUAAAUUGUAUCUAAUCCUGGAUUACAGUUUAAUUAAUUAUU